GGCAUUACCCACCUCCAAGGGGCCUGGCACCUGGGCGCCGUGAUUUCCUCGCCCCGGACUUCUCACACUUCAGUGCGCUCACACGUCACCUGGGGCAGCUUGUUAAGAUGCAGACUCAGACCCAGCCUCUGAGAUCCUCAGUUCUGACCUGUUCCCAGGUGUUGCUGCUGCUGCUUGUCUAGGGCCACGUGAAGAACGAGGCCCCAGUUGCUAGGCUGUCUUUGUGAUGAGCUCGGAGCACAGUGCAUUUCAGCAGCGCUCCGGCAGCAGGGGUGGGAGGUCUCGCGCUGGGCUCUCCGGAUUGAGCUGUGCUGUGAGUUUAAACUAUCCACCAGGUUUUGAAGACUUAGAAUAAAAUGAUAGUAUGAGUGUCAUGAGAUCAGGGACAUCGCCUGCUCGCAGCUCCUGGAACAGCGCCUGGCAUGAGCCAUCGUGGUGGGUGUGAAGUGGCAUGUCAUUGUGGUUGUGAUUUGCAUUUCCCUGAUGACUAAUGAUGUUGAGCAUCUCCUCAUGUGCUUCUUGGCCGUUUGUACAUCUUCUUUGGAGAAAUGUCUGUUCAAGUCCUCUGCCCAUUUUAAAAUUUGGUCAUUUGUC